CCUACUGGAGACAGCAGUGAGGAAUCUUGGUCAAUGGACGCAAGUCUGAACCAGCCAUGCCGCGUGCAGGAAGACGGCUCUAUGAGUUGUAAACUGCUUUUGUACGAGGGUAAACGCAGAUACGCGUAUCUGUAUGAAAGUAUCGUACGAAUACGGAUCGGCCAACUCCGUUCAAGCAGACGUGGUAAUACGGAGGAUUCAAGCGUUAUCCGGAUUUAUUGGGUUUAAAGGGUGCGUAGGCGGUCGGAUAAGUUAGAGGUGAAAUCCCGAGGCUCAACUUCGGAAUUGCCUCUGAUACUGUGCGGCUAGAGAGUAGGUGCGGUAGGCGGAAUGUAGGGUGUAGCGGUGAAAUGCUUAGAGAUCAUACAGAACACCGAUUGCGAAGGCAGGUUACCAAGCUACUUCUGACGUUGAGGCACGAAGGCGUGGGGAGCAAACGGGAUUAGAUACCCGGGUAGUC
rnacentral:rRNA from 1 species